UAGUCUUUGUGCCUACGGAUUUUUUGUAAACUUUAUUUUAAAAAAAAACCAUGCUAGAUUAUGUUUAGUAAUGACGAAACAGCAUCCUUCUCGCGAAAAAUAAAGCCUCAAGAUAGGUAUUCCCGUAUUGCAUUGUGCCCGUAUUGUGCCAAAUAAACUUCUUUUUAUCCGUAGGCAACAAUGUCGUAGUUUGAAUCAGCAUAGGACUUCCAGUUCCGGUUAUUAAUUGCUGCGUUCAAUGCAUCUUAAUUUUAUAGCGUUAUUUUUGAUGCAAAAUACGGUUCGGAUAAACUUCGGAUAUUUAUGAAAAUAAAAAAUAGGGAAAGAAACAACUUACAAAAACUAGCUAGCAUAAAAUCUAUCUUGUUUUGUUAAGUUAGAGUGAUUUGGGAGAAACUAAAGGUUAAACACAAAAAACAGUAUAAUUAUUAUGAAAACUUUGCGCGACAGUAUGGAACUAAACACGAGUAUAUUUAAUAGCCUCAAAGUUUAUGGAGUAGGUCGGCGGAUGCUUGACGAUAUUCUAUUCGCUAGUGACAAACCUCCGCCGCGCCUCGGCAUUUACGAUUUAGACGACGAAAACCUGUGUCACGAACUG